UACGGAGGGGGCAAACGUUGUUCGGAAUUACUGGGCGUAAAGGGUGCGUAGGCGGCUCGGUCAGUCUGAUGUGAAAGCCUCCCGCUCAACGGGAGAAAUGCAUUGGAAACUGCCGAGCUCGAGGAUGGGAGAGGCAGGUGGAAUUCCUGGUGUAGCGGUGGAAUGCGUAGAUAUCAGGAAGAACACUCGUGGCGAAGGCGGCCUGCUGGCCCAUUUCUGACGCUGAGGCACGAAAGCCAGGGGAGCAAACGGGAUUAGAUACCCCGGUAGUCCUGGCCGUAAACGGUGAACACUAGACGUCGGGGGUAUCGACCCCCUCGGUGUCGCAGCUAACGCAUUAAGUGUUCCGCCUGGGAAGUACGACCGCAAGGUUGAA
rnacentral:rRNA from 1 species